GGUUCGUGGCUCAUUGGUAGAGCACUUGCCUAGCAUGCAAGACACUGGGUUCGACUCUCAGCACCA
rnacentral:tRNA from 1 species